UACGUAGGGAGCGAGCGUUGUCCGGAUUUAUUGGGCGUAAAGAGCUCGUAGGCGGCUUGGUAAGUCGGAUGUGAAAUCUCCAUGCUUAACGUGGAGCGGCCAUCUGAUACUGCUAUGGCUUGAGUCCGGUAGGGGCCCACGGAAUUCCUGGUGUAGCGGUGAAAUGCGCAGAUAUCAGGAGGAACACCGGUGGCGAAGGCGGUGGGCUAGGCCGGUACUGACGCUGAGGAGCGAAAGCGUGGGGAGCGAACAGG
rnacentral:rRNA from 1 species